UCUCUAUGAUGUGACAAUAGAUCCUUCUGACCCUUCACUGUGUACUCAAUGGAAGGGUGCUGAAGAUAUUUCAUGACUGAGAGA
rnacentral:snoRNA from 1 species